rnacentral:rRNA from 1 species
CCUACGGGUGGCAGCAGUCGAGAAUCAUUCACAAUGGGGGAAACCCUGAUGGUGCGACGCCGCGUGGGGGAAUGAAGUUCUUCGGAUUGUAAACCCCUGUCAUGUGGGAGCAAAUUAAAAAGAUAGUACCACAAUAGGAAGAGACUGCUAACUCUGUGCCAGCAGCCGCGGUAAUACAGAGGUCUCAAGCGUUGUUCGGAAUCACUGGGCGUAAAGCGUGCGUAGGCUGUUUCGUAAGUCGUGGGUGAAAGGCGCGGGCUCAACCCGCGGACGGCACAUGAUACUGCGAGACUAGAGUAAGGGAGGGGGAACCGGAAUUCUCGGUGUAGCAGUGAAAUGCGUAGAUAUCGAGAGGAACACUCGUGGCGAAGGCGGGUUCCUGGACAGUAACUGACGCUGAGGCACGAAGGCCAGGGGAGCGAAAGGGAUUAGAUACCCCUGUAGUC